rnacentral:rRNA from 1 species
GAUGAACGCUGGCGGCGUGCCUAAUACAUGCAAGUCGAGCGAACGGACGAGAAGCUUGCUUCUCUGAUGUUAGCGGCGGACGGGUGAGUAACACGUGGAUAACCUACCUAUAAGACUGGGAUAACUUCGGGAAACCGGAGCUAAUACCGGAUAAUAUUUUGAACCGCAUGGUUCAAAAGUGAAAGACGGUCUUGCUGUCACUUAUAGAUGGAUCCGCGCUGCAUUAGCUAGUUGGUAAGGUAACGGCUUACCAAGGCAACGAUGCAUAGCCGACCUGAGAGGGUGAUCGGCCACACUGGAACUGAGACACGGUCCAGACUCCUACGGGAGGCAGCAGUAGGGAAUCUUCCGCAAUGGGCGAAAGCCUGACGGAGCAACGCCGCGUGAGUGAUGAAGGUCUUCGGAUCGUAAAACUCUGUUAUUAGGGAAGAACAUAUGUGUAAGUAACUGUGCACAUCUUGACGGUACCUAAUCAGAAAGCCACGGCUAACUACGUGCCAGCAGCCGCGGUAAUACGUAGGUGGCAAGCGUUAUCCGGAAUUAUUGGGCGUAGAGCGCGCGUAGGCGGUUUUUUAAGUCUGAUGUGAAAGCCCACGGCUCAACCGUGGAGGGUCAUUGGAAACUGGAAAACUUGAGUGCAGAAGAGGAAAGUGGAAUUCCAUGUGUAGCGGUGAAAUGCGCAGAGAUAUGGAGGAACACCAGUGGCGAAGGCGACUUUCUGGUCUGUAACUGACGCUGAUGUGCGAAAGCGUGGGGAUCAAACAGGAUUAGAUACCCUGGUAGUCCACGCCGUAAACGAUGAGUGCUAAGUGUUAGGGGGUUUCCGCCCCUUAGUGCUGCAGCUAACGCAUUAAGCACUCCGCCUGGGGAGUACGACCGCAAGGUUGAAACUCAAAGGAAUUGACGGGGACCCGCACAAGCGGUGGAGCAUGUGGUUUAAUUCGAAGCAACGCGAAGAACCUUACCAAAUCUUGACAUCCUUUGACAACUCUAGAGAUAGAGCCUUCCCCUUCGGGGGGCAAAGUGACAGGUGGUGCAUGGUUGUCGUCAGCUCGUGUCGUGAGAUGUUGGGUUAAGUCCCGCAACGAGCGCAACCCUUAAGCUUAGUUGCCAUCAUUAAGUUGGGCACUCUAAGUUGACUGCCGGUGACAAACCGGAGGAAGGUGGGGAUGACGUCAAAUCAUCAUGCCCCUUAUGAUUUGGGCUACACACGUGCUACAAUGGACAAUACAAAGGGCAGCGAAACCGCGAGGUCAAGCAAAUCCCAUAAAGUUGUUCUCAGUUCGGAUUGUAGUCUGCAACUCGACUACAUGAAGCUGGAAUCGCUAGUAAUCGUAGAUCAGCAUGCUACGGUGAAUACGUUCCCGGGUCU